CCUACGGGUGGCAGCAGUGAGGAAUAUUGGUCAAUGGACGAGAGUCUGAACCAGCCAAGUAGCGUGAAGGAUGACUGCCCUAUGGGUUGUAAACUUCUUUUAUAAAGGAAUAAAACGAGGCACGUGUGCCUUUUUGCAUGUACUUUAUGCAUAAGGAUCGGCUAACUCCGUGCCAGCAGCCGCGGUAAUACGGAGGAUCCGAGCGUUAUCCGGAUUUAUUGGGUUUAAAGGGAGCGUAGAUGGGUUGUUAAGUCAGUUGUGAAAGUUUGCGGCUCAACCGUAAAAUUGCAAUUGAUACUGGCAGUCGUGAGUACAGUUGAGGUAGGCGGAAUUCGUGGUGUAGCGGUGAAAUGCUUAGAUAUCACGAAGAACCCCGAUUGCGAAGGCAGCUUACUAAACUGUGACUGACAUUGAUGCUCGAAAGUGUGGGUAUCAAACAGGAUUAGAUACCCUUGUAGUC
rnacentral:rRNA from 1 species